rnacentral:rRNA from 1 species
UACGAAGGGGGCUAGCGUUGUUCGGAAUUACUGGGCGUAAAGCGCACGUAGGCGGCUUUGUAAGUUAGAGGUGAAAGCCCGGGGCUCAACUCCGGAAUUGCCUUUAAGACUGCAUCGCUAGAAUUGUGGAGAGGUAAGUGGAAUUCCGAGUGUAGAGGUGAAAUUCGUAGAUAUUCGGAAGAACACCAGUGGCGAAGGCGACUUACUGGACAAAUAUUGACGCUGAGGUGCGAAAGCGUGGGGAGCAAACAGG